rnacentral:rRNA from 1 species
AACGAACGCUGGCGGUAUGCCUAACACAUGCAAGUCGAACGAGACCUUCGGGUCUAGUGGCGCACGGGUGCGUAACGCGUGGGAACCUGCCCUUAGGUUCGGAAUAACUCCCCGAAAGGGGUGCUAAUACCGGAUAAUGUCUUCGGACCAAAGAUUUAUCGCCUUUGGAUGGGCCCGCGUUGGAUUAGCUAGUUGGUAGGGUAAAAGCCUACCAAGGCGACGAUCCAUAGCUGGUCUGAGAGGAUGAUCAGCCACGCUGGGACUGAGACACGGCCCAGACUCCUACGGGAGGCAGCAGUGGGGAAUAUUGGACAAUGGGCGAAAGCCUGAUCCAGCAAUGCCGCGUGAGUGAUGAAGGCCUUAGGGUUGUAAAGCUCUUUUACCCGGGAUGAUAAUGACAGUACCGGGAGAAUAAGCUCCGGCUAACUCCGUG